rnacentral:rRNA from 1 species
UACGGAGGGUGCAAGCGUUAUCCGGAUUCACUGGGUUUAAAGGGUGCGUAGGUGGGUCUGUAAGUCAGUGGUGAAAUCUCCGUGCUUAACAUGGAACUGCCAUUGAUACUAUAGGUCUUGAAUUUUCUGGAGGUAAGCGGAAUAUGUCAUGUAGCGGUGAAAUGCUUAGAUAUGACAUAGAACACCAAUUGCGAAGGCAGCUUACUACGGGAACAUUGACACUGAGGCACGAAAGCGUGGGGAUCAAACAGG